GAUUAACGCUGGCGGCGUGCAUGAAACAUGCAAGUCGAGCGCGGCACUUCGGUGUCUAGCGGCGAACGGGUGAGUAACACGUGAGCAACCUACCUCUGAGUCUGGGAUAGCCCUGAGAAAUCAGGAUUAAUACCGGAUGAAGUGGCGACGAGGCAUCUCGACGCCAAGAAAGGAGCAAUUCGCUCGGAGACGGGCUCGCGGCCUAUUAGCUUGUUGGUGGGGUAACGGCCUACCAAGGCGUAGAUGGGUAGCUGGUCUGAGAGGACGAUC
rnacentral:rRNA from 1 species